rnacentral:rRNA from 1 species
GAUGAACGCUGGCGGCGUGCCUAAUACAUGCAAGUCGAGCGAACAGACGAGGAGCUUGCUCCUCUGACGUUAGCGGCGGACGGGUGAGUAACACGUGGAUAACCUACCUAUAAGACUGGGAUAACUUCGGGAAACCGGAGCUAAUACCGGAUAAUCUAUUGAACCGCAUGGUUCAAUAGUGAAAGACGGUUUUGCUGUCACUUAUAGCUGGAUCCGCGCCGCAUUAGCUAGUUGGUAAGGUAACGGCUUACCAAGGCGAAGAUGCGUAGCCGACCUGAGAGGGUGAUCGGCCACACUGGAACUGAGACACGGUCCAGACUCCUACGGGAGGCAGCAGUAGGGAAUCUUCCGCAAUGGGCGAAAGCCUGACGGAGCAACGCCGCGUGAGUGAUGAAGGUCUUCGGAUCGUAAAACUCUGUUAUUAGGGAAGAACAAAUGUGUAAGUAACUAUGCACGUCUUGACGGUACCUAAUCAGAAAGCCACGGCUAACUACGUG